rnacentral:lncRNA from 1 species
CCCGGGCCGGGAGCGCGGGCGGUGCGGGCGCUGCCGAAGAGCCGCGCCUCUCCCAGCCGGGAUGGGAACGUGUCAAAAAAUUAGAUGUAUUUAUGCACAUAUUUAUCCCCUCUAAUUAUAGAAAUUAAUCCUCUUAGUUAUGACUAAAAGGUAACGUCUGAGGCGUCCCUUUGAUGUUUAACAGCGUCGUUUGUGGCUAACAUUCCAACUGAUUAAGGAAUAAUUGUUGUUAAAUGCUUUACAAGUGGAUAGUGUUUAAUUGAGAGGCAUUCAUAAUUCUACGGCUUACCGCAAAAUGAAACGUAAUUAAAAACGCAGGAAUUUCCAACCGAUUUUAUUCCAAUUAUGUUUAUUGUUCCGACUAAUUACGGCAGAAGGGGCGCGUUCCCCGGCCCCGACCGGCACGCGGUCCCACACGCACUGGGCGGGUUCCCCUCCUCACCCCCCCCCACCCCUCCGCCCCCCCAUGAAGCGCUCCGGCCCUUUGCUUCUCUCCUCCUCGCAACACCUGGGAAUGCGCGAAAGUGCUGGCAGCACCCUUCCCUCGGAGUCACCGUAGAAGGGCUGAUGGAUUUCUCGGAGAAGCACUUGCCACGCACUGCGGCAACCAUCUCCUAGCAGGAUUUUACAAACCAAAGUAAACAAAGCACCCCAGGGGCGAUUUCCUCCUUUUGCGCAGCUCACUUCGCAAUUUACCUCCGAAGCGAUCGUAAACACACACAAGAAUCAAGGCAGAAAUCGCGAUUGGUCUGAGGAAGACCUUCCGGAUGGAAAAGGCAGAGACUGAACGUGUUCAAAGGGACGGUCACUGAAAUACCUGCCGGCUGCCUCUCCACGGGCCAACCUUCCUUCUCCCCCGGGAACUCGGGGCUCGCUCCAGCGGCUCUUUAAGCAUACAUCUCCCUGGGAAAGGGGAGAAGGAAAAAGAAAAAAAAAAGGGGGGGAGGGGGGGGAGAAAAAUGACAAGAAAGAAACAAACAGAAAAAGACAAACCACCCCCUCCCCCUCACCCCGCACCUCGGGUCCGUCUCCCCAGCCCGUGAAGCAGCGUCAGCCUCAGAGCGGGUGGGGUGGGAGGAGAAGUGACCGGGCUGGAUCGCAGUGUUUGCUCGAUCGAAGGGAGCGAUGUGGCAGCGGAUUGAUUUAUUGCUGAGCUUGGCCGCUUCCCGGCUGGGCGCGGGGGGAGCGUGAGCGAGGGGUGCCUGGCACCGGGCUAACACCAACUCAGGGCUCACGGCUAAAGAGAACCACCAGUUCAGACCCCGCUGCAUGGGGGCUGCGGGACAGGGGGCGCGGAACGCCCCUCUGCUCCCACUCCGCGUUCCUUCGGGCUCCGACCCGCUAAGGAAGGAUCCCCUACGGUCAUCGCUCCCUUUGUUCCCCGCUGCUGCCCGCACCCGGCCCUACGCGGGCGGGUCGGGGCCGCUCUGCUCGGAGGGCUCCGGGCUCCCAGGUGGGCUCCGGCUCGCCGUUCUCUCCGUGCAGGUUCUCGGCGCUCCUAAAGGGUUUAAGCGAAGUGUGAGAGAAGAAAAGUGUUUAAAUCUUACUGGGGAGGUAAAGGGGUGGGAGGAUUCCCUCUGAUGGCAAGUUAGAAAUAACCCGAGCUUUCCAGAGGGACGUUCGAAUUGGACUUAAUGGAGCCAUACUUGUACUUCUUUUGCCUCAGCUGUGAGUCCCGGAUCCUUUCAGCAUUGACAGAGAUUUCCAGAGAGGGGAGAAGGGGGGGUACCCGGGGUGGCCAUUUUAUGUAAAUGAGCAAAUCCGAAAUGUAUUACAAAUCCGGUGUAAUAAAACUGACAGUUUUGACAGUAUUGACAACAUAAAUAUAUGUUGGAACACAGCACUUUCAGACACUUAACCGAUGAAGCAAUAAAAAGAUUCGACUACAAUAUUUCAAAUAAUCGACAUUGAUGUUUUGAUACAUCAUUUUUAUACCUCGAAUCGAUCUAUCACUCCGUGACCGGUCAAUUUUAAGUAAAAAUCUGCUGCAAUUAUUUACGCUAUUGCCAAUGACGACCUAAUAACUGUUUUCAAUUAAUUACAGCAAAACUAAGCAUUAUGAGGACCAACCGGCCGUAUAUCCCGUCGUACAGUCUCUCGCGUUGUUUGUAUGGAGAGCAAAUACAUAUAUGCAUAUUGCAUUCUCUUUGUGGGAUCAAAAGAAAGAAAGAAAGAAAGAGAAAGAAAGAAAGAAGAAGAAGAAGAAAGAAAGAAGGAAAGAAGGAAAAAGAACACCACCACCUCUCUCUCAGGAGCACACCACAGUUCUCUCCUCUCAGCACGCAUUUCGAGGAAACAUACUAUAAUAUUUUGUCAGCUCAUUCCCCGUGCAACACCAAGCCGGGCUGCUGAGAUUUUUUCCCCCUUUUCUCCAUGGGCUGAAACCCACUUCAGACAAUGGCCCGAGCGGCUCCUUCCGAGCGGGGCGCUCCGCGCCGGAGCCACCGCGUGUGCGGGGGCAGCCGCAGAGCUCCAGAGGCGGUGGGAGCACAUUGUUCUCUCCCGGACGGAGAGCUCCGGCGUCAAACGCGAGCGGUCCUCUUCUGAAGUGCCAAGGGCAACUGGGGAACAGCAGCGAGUGUUCUGAGUGAGCGAGAGCAGAGCCUAGCGGAGUUGGGAGCUCCUCAGCUGCUCUGAUGUUGCGCUACACUGACAAGCUUGCCCUCGCUGUCCUUUCCGUUACGGUAUCACAGUGCAAAGAGGGAUUAUAUUUAUUUAUUUAUUUGUGUUCUGGGCUCCUUCGAAGAAAUGCAAACUAGAUUUUGAACUACCCUGGCAGAAGCGGCCUCACUGGGCAGCCCAGACAGGUAUUUUAGUCCCUCUGGUUUACGUUGGAAAUACGCACAGAGCUGCACACAGACUUCCCUGCACACCCCAGCCAGCCCACGGCGUACACAUCACGCCACUCACUUCACGCUGGUGCUUCCCACGCACCCACGCGUGGGUUCAGUCCCUCGGACACGGAGCGGGGGGAGGCCUAAGGGCUCCCCUUCUCGCCGCGGCCGCCGUGCGGAGCUGCGGGCAGGGGCGCGUCGGGCGAGCGCCCACGGCCACGCGAGAGAGUUCUGCGC